GUUGACUAGCAUGCUAGCAAAAUAUUCUAAGUACGCGUUCUUGUUUCUUAACGGUGUCUGCGUUGAGGCAACAGUAAACGUUUAAACAUAUCUUUUUGUCUGGCCGUUAAUUGAAACUAAAACGUGUUUGCGUUGUCAGGUGGCUGACAUCAGGCCGUCUGCGGCGAGUUUUUAUAGUUGCGGUGUGGGAGUAUGUCUUCGACGUUAGAAGAUGAGGUGGACCCGUACAUGAACUACAUCUCGGGGCUUCUUCUGGCGGCUGUGAUGUAACGCGGCGUGAAAACUUCGAGGCGGUCGUCUGCUUGUUGACUUUUAAGACACUUUUUGGGCGGCGAAGGUCACUGAAUAGUGAUGUGUCAUUAUAAUCAUCUUGACCUUCACGUUUAAACUCACGUUUAAGCGAAAUAUAAGUCAUUUCCCCCCAAAAACAAAAGCAGAUUGGAUGUAAAAUAGCGUCAUAUUCAAUGGACUGAAAUGAAAGUGGAAUAAAACUCUAACAUUACUGCA